rnacentral:rRNA from 1 species
UACAGAGGGUGCAAGCGUUAAUCGGAAUUACUGGGCGUAAAGCGCGCGUAGGUGGUUUGUUAAGUUGGAUGUGAAAUCCCCGGGCUCAACCUGGGAACUGCAUCCAAAACUGGCAAGCUAGAGUAUGGUAGAGGGUGGUGGAAUUUCCUGUGUAGCGGUGAAAUGCGUAGAUAUAGGAAGGAACACCGGUGGCGAAGGCGGCGACCUGGUCCGAUACUGACGCUGAGGCGCGAAAGCGUGGGGAGCAAACAGG